rnacentral:misc_RNA from 1 species
GCAAACUUGGUCAUUUAGAGGAAGUAAAAGUCGUAACAAGGUUUCCGUAGGUGAACCUGCGGAAGGAUCAUUAACAAAUCUACAACAACACCAUGUGUAAACGUGUAUGUGUUCCCUUGGGAUUGCUUGGGAGGUGGUGUGAGUGGAGUGGGGGUAUAUAUGGUAUGGUAUAUAUAUGCGCACGUACGCACACACUCAACCAUUAUUAACCAGCUUCCCAGGGGAACAUCAUCCUUGGGUUAACAAACUAUGAUUGACAGCCUGAGAUGAUAUAUUGCUUAAAGUAAACAACUUUUAACAAUGGAUCUCUUGGCUCUUGCAUCGAUGAAGAACGCAGC